GCCCAGAGGAUAGCUCAGUUGGUAGAGCAUGAGACUCUUAAUCUCAGGGUUGUGGGUUUGAGUCCCAGUUUGGGUG